UACGUAGGGUGCGAGCGUUGUCCGGAAUUAUUGGGCGUAAAGAGCUCGUAGGCGGUGUGUCGCGUCGGCCGUGAAAACCUGGGGCUCAACUCUGGGCGUGCGGUCGAUACGGGCAUCACUUGAGUUCGGCAGGGGAGACUGGAAUUCCUGGUGUAGCGGUGAAAUGCGCAGAUAUCAGGAGGAACACCGGUGGCGAAGGCGGGUCUCUGGGCCGUAACUGACGCUGAGGAGCGAAAGCAUGGGGAGCAAACAGG
rnacentral:rRNA from 1 species